UUUCGAUCCGCCAUAUUGCUCAUGUGUUGUACGAAUAUUGACGAGAUAGAAAUAGUCAAUUACUCCUCUAGAGUCUCGACUGUACAUUUUUAAAAUUAUACAAUAAGCUAGUGUCACUGUGUUUUCUGCUACUGAACAUGAGGUUGAUGGGGCAAUUUGGAUUCUGUCUGAAGUACGCUCCAGACAGACAACGGGGUGGAGGACGAACUGUUUACACACGUUAAUUAACCUACAUCUCUAAACAUAUAAAUUUACCAUGUGUCAUUAGUUUAAUGUGCCUUUAUCAUUUAACAGUUUGAGUGUCUGUACAGAUUUGUUGUGAAAAUUAAACUUGUACAUUCC